GCAGGCUGCAACCCGCCUGCAUGAAGUCGGAAUUGCUAGUAAUCGCGGAUCAGCAUGCCGCGGUGAAUACGUUCCCGAGCCUUGUACACACCGCCCGUCACACCAUGGGAGCCGGUAAUACCCGAAGUCAGUAGUCCAACCACGUGAGGACGCUGCCGAAGGUAGGAUUGGCGACUGGGGUGAAGUCGUAACAAGGUAGC
rnacentral:rRNA from 1 species